rnacentral:rRNA from 1 species
CCUACGGGAGGCAGCAGUGAGGAAUAUUGGUCAAUGGGCGCUAGCCUGAACCAGCCAAGUAGCGUGAAGGAUGACUGCCCUCUGGGUUGUAAACUUCUUUUAUAUGGGAAUAAAGUGCAGUAUGUAUACUGCUUUCCAUGUACCUUAUGAAUAAGGAUCGGCUAACUCCGUGCCAGCAGCCGCGGUAAUACGGAGGAUCCGAGCGUUAUCCGGAUUUAUUGGGUUUAAAGGGAGCGUAGGCGGGUGGUUAAGUCAGGUGUGAAAGUGUGCGGCUCAACCGUAAAAUUGCAGUUGAUACUGGAAACCUUGAGUACAGUAGAGGUAGGCGGAAUUCGUGGUGGAGCGGUGAAAUGCUUAGAUAUCACGAAGAACUCCGAUUGCGAAGGCAGCCUGCUGGACUGUAACUGACGCUGAGGCUCGAAAGUGUGGGGAUCAAACAGGAUUAGAUACCCUUGUAGUC